rnacentral:rRNA from 1 species
AGUGAACGCUGGCGGUAGGCCUAACACAUGCAAGUCGAACGGCAUCACAGGAGAGCUUGCUCUCUGGGUGGCGAGUGGCGGACGGGUGAGGAAUACAUCGGAAUCUACUUUUUCGUGGGGAAUAACGUAGGGAAACUUACGCUAAUACCGCAUACGACCUACGGGUGAAAGCAGGGGAUCUUCGGACCUUGCGCGAUUGAAUGAGCCGAUGUCGGAUUAGCUAGUUGGCGGGGUAAAGGCCCACCAAGGGGACGAUCCGUAGCUGGUCUGAGAGGAUGAGCAGCCACACUGGAACUGAGACACGGUCCAGACUCCUACGGGAGGCAGCAGUGGGGAAUAUUGGACAAUGGGCGCAAGCCUGAUCCAGCCAUACCGCGUGGGUGAAGAAGGCCUUCGGGUUGUAAAGCCCUUUUGUUGGGAAAGAAAUCCAGCUGGUUAAUACCCGGUUGGGAUGACGGUACCCAAAGAAUAAGCACCGGCUAACUUCGUGCCAGCCGCCGCCGUAA